AACCGGUAACCACAUUUUAUACACGGUUAUUAUAUAUUAAAUCCUAAAGAAAGACGGAAAGUAAAAAACAAUACUUAUCUUUGGUCGAGGUUAAAAGAAACAGUUGGGACGUUGUGAGGCAAUCACAUCAGGUCAAUAUGAGAUAAUACUAUGGUUCCUUUGUUAAUAUACUGUAUUUCUCUUUUUGGUGAUAAUUUAUAUGAUGCAUAGCCAAUUAGUUAACUUGUUAAUUUGUGCACAAUUUCUUGUGAUUUUAUUGUUAUACGAACAAUAUGGGUCUGAUUCAUUGUUGAAUAAUUUGGUGUCUCUUAUCACUGUGAGCAACAUUUGACAAAUCCCGUGGCUACCUAUUGAAUCAUAAUUACCCAUCCUUGUUUCACUUGUAUCAUCCUUAGGGACAUCUAAUAGAUAUCUUAAUAUUAUUACUAUUUGAUAUGGAUAUAUGUUCUGUUUUCUCUUAUUGAGGAUUUGCAGUUCUCUUCAUAUUAUUACUAUGUGUAUAUUAGUAUUUGUAACUAGAAAAUGUUUACAGGCAUACAAACAUGAAACCAUUUACAAACAUGUUUUCUGGUUGAUAUGGAUCUGCUUGGAAACAUUUCCUUCAUCUUUUUGGUAGAUUUGAUUGUCUAUUUUUAUGACCUGGUGUUUGGCAGCCUACAGAAAUUCAUGCCCACAACGUGUUUGACAAAAGUCCAAAGUGAGAAUGGGGUGUCAAUGAACUUACUCUAUUAUCUUUCAAAAGACUUGAGAGACAUCAAGCACCAUCUUUGUUUGGCUGUACUGACAAGAAUGAGUAAUUUGUUGAAAAAAUACAUACAUAAAAAUAUGUAUCUACAAAUUUUUGGAUGUUGACUUACAUGUUGAGAUUGUUAAUAACUUGGAUAGUUUCUGACACUUGCACUCAUUUGUAUUUCACUUUGAGUACCAAUGUCGGUUCUUACGGUAGUUUUCCUUGGUCGGGAAUUAAGUUUAAUGAAUUCACAAGAUCCAACCUAAAUGACACCAUAUGGUCACGUGGCCAUUUAAGAAGUUGGGUGCAUACAGACUGAUCCACUAUACACAUCCAUUAUAUAUGUACCAUUAACCAUGUGAUGUUGGAUAAAAUGUCUUAUCUUAAUAUGGGUGUUCUAAGGUCAUCUGCUGUUGUCUUUUGUGCCAGAUUUUAAUCUAAUUUUUAAUUAUAAAACACUUUCUACUUGUCUUGUUAGGUAAGUUCAGUAGCUCACCCAUGUUUGAUAACAAUUCAUAUCUUGUUCGUUGGUAGUAAAAUUUUGAAGCAUGUUUAUUACUUCAUUGUCUAUUAGAUUAGUUCACUCUACCUUGAUCCUUGUACCACACUUUACACUUUGUACACAUGUUAUUGAUUGGUAAGUUCAGUUUAUCAAUUUGGGAUGCCAAUGAUCAGUUGGCUAAUACUGUGAUUUUAAAAAUACUUUACUACUUAAAAUGCUUAACGGUUUGGUGUUUGUAAAUGAUAAAACGUUGUAGAAGGGAUGGAAACCACCAAGCGACUUGGGAGGCUUUUUUGGGGGAAGACUCUGAGUACAGUGAUGAUGGUCCCUUGAAGGAAGACGACGGUAAAGCGGUAAAACUAACUCCUGCUCGGAUUGUGCAAAUACGAAGAUGGAUACUUUUUCGACGUGACAUUGAGGGUGUUGCCAACUAUUAUGCCUACUAUUCUGAUCACGUUCUACCUAGAUCUGUGGGUGAUGAGAUGGAUGAAGUUGAGGGGCAAAUAAAGUUUAUAGGCUGGUUACGUAAUUAGUUGUUGGAAGAAGAUAAAUGCAGAAUUGUGGCAAUAUGUCAAAGGUCCUACUGGAGCUAAAGAAUAUUCAAGUUACCGUGUAAAUGGGUUUUUCUUUUCUCCUUUCUCACAAGACAGUAGUCGUGUUAUUCAAGAUAACAGCGUUUGUAUGGAGGCAGUCACCACAUACAGGAGUAAAAAAAAGAGAAAAGAUCCCAGUUGAUUAAAUGACCAGGUGGUAUGGGAUUAUCAAGCAAAUAUUGGAGGUUGCAAUAUAAAUUUUGAAGAUCAAACUUUGUUUACCUUGUUAGGUAGAGUUUUAUGUUUUAAUUUAUAACAAUUAUAGUUUUCAUUGUUUAGUGUUUUAAGAAUGUGUUGAGGAUAUUAGUUGAUGUUGAAACAAAUUUCUUUUUAUUAAUUUAAUUUCUAUUGUUUUUU